AAUCCUCUGGAUCAUCCUCUCCCUCAGAAAAGACAGAGGGGCUUGAAAAACCAGUUGAGCUUGCAUCAGUCUUACUUUUUCGAGCAAACUUCAGAAGCCGCUUCAAACCUUUAGGUUCACCUUUCUGAUAGAUCAUGGUUGGUGGAUUCUCAGCAUUACCCCAGUCAAUUACAUCAGCUUCACCGUUGUCUUCGAGCAGCAUUUGAGAAAGAGAAUGACGAACUCGUGGACUUGAGACUCUUACAGGUGCAACAUCACCCAAAGAAUCAUUAUUACAUAAAUCACCAUUACUUGGAAAAGACUUAGCCUCGAGCUCCUCUAUUUCCACCCAGGCACUAGGUGAG
rnacentral:misc_RNA from 1 species